GGCCGGUGUCACGGCACUUCCGCCCCGGACCAAGAUGUCCGCCUCCUCCCGCUCCUUUCCGUCGAGCUGUCGGCACUCUGCCCUGCUGCUCCGCCUGGCGGCCAUGGUGCGGGAGGCCGCCGGGGCGCGGCAGGGAGGCGGCGGGCGGUAGCGGCGUGGCCCUGCCCCAGCUCCUCGGCGGGCUGUGGGCGCUGCUGGGGGAUCCCCAAGCCAGCGGGCUCAGCGCCGGGGCCGCAGCGAGUGCCCCCUCCCCCCCCGCGCCGUGCCGCGGUGGUGCCGCCAUCUCUUCCCGCCCCCGUGAGAUUGCUGAUGGCUGACAGGAGAGUGGUCCCGGGUGGUGACGCCUGGCUGGGCUGGAACAGUCGGCGGAGUUUCACGGUGGUUUGGGAUCGGUUAAAGCUUCAUCUCUUAGACCUCUCAAGAACCUGCUUGGCUCCUCUUAGUGACAGAAGCAGCCCCUGAGAGCGCUCUGACCUGCAGCCAGGUGCUGUUAAUGAGCUGAGAAGCAGGCAGAGUUUGGAAAAAUCAGAGUGAUGGGACAGGAAGCAGAAACAAAGUUGAAGCUGGAGAUGGUGGCCUCAAUCAAUGAAGAGUUGGAGCAGAUGCAUCUCAGACAUAGAAAAGGAUGGUUGAAGACUGCUCAGGGAUGAGCAGAAACCACCAUAUCACUGGCACAAAUCUAGAUUACAUCAAGAAAGAAGGAACAUGCAGAACUGAUGCUGCUUCAUCUGGAUUAGCAAGGCAGAUACUAAGUCAGAACCCUUCAACACUCAAAUGAGCAUUGUAUCCAGGUUUGGAUCUUCUUUGGCAGAAUGCUUGGGAAAAAUACAGCCAUCUAAUACAGAUUGGGUACUCGGGCAUCGGAGUAGAAGCUGUGAAAAUCAAGAACAUGUAGAAUCUGAACGAGCAAUGAAUGAACAACAGUGGAUUAGACACAGACGUGGAAGGUAACAGUUUCACCUGUUCAGUUUCAGGGCGUGUGGAGAAGAGAAGGAAAAUUAAUCACUUAGCCAUCCAAAAAACUGAACAGGACUUGAAUCAGAUGCACAAGGACAGCGUAAAACUAACUGAAAGGAUAUUGGCUUUGGAAGAACAAUAUCUUCAGAAGCUCUCUGAAAUGUCAUCUACCUUGCCUCCUCUAGGCAGUUUCGUCAUGGAACACAGCAAUCUCAAAGGCUGUCCCUGGUUCAAGGAGGAUUAAUUUAAAGCUAGGCCUCUUAAGGGCACUUUUAAUUCAAGGAGAUCCUAGUAUGUUGGAUGUAGCAGAGUUGGGACUCCUAGGAACACUUCCAGUUAUUUAAAUGGCAUAACACCUUUCUUAAAGGCAGAAGGCUUGCAUCAAAUUUGGCUGUGAAGUGCUGUGCACAGUGUUUGAUACUACGGACGUUCCAGGAUGGUUUGUUUACUUGUGGCAUUCUGUGCUUGUUUGGGGGGCAACCUAUGUGCAAGCUCAGUGACUGAUUUGUCUUUUGCUUUCAUAGGGAUCAAUACAGACAAAUCAAUAAAGAUAACUGGAUCUGAAACGCAAAUGAGA